UUUAAUAUCUUAGCUUCAUUCACACAGUGUCGAGAAAAGCAAAUCACUUCAAAAAGGGAAAAAAAAAAACAAUUCCUUCCCAAAUUGCGAAAUAAAUGCUGCUACGCAGUAGUAAGGGAAUGUACCGAAGCAGAGGCAUCCAAUUAUAGUUCACAAAAACUUGCCGUUUCAUUGCACACUACCUGUGAUUUCAGGGUCACAAUCUCUGUUCGUUGUGCUCUGUUUGGUAGAAAUGAACGACCCCAAGUAUGCUUAUCCUUACCCUCCACCACCACCAACACAAGGGUAUUAUCAAGGUCCUCCUGUGAUGGCGCCUCCUCAGUAUGCUUAUGCUCCUCCACCACCACCCAGAAGAGAGCCUGGUUUUCUUGAGGGAUGUCUUGCAGCUUUGUGUUGCUGUUGCUUACUAGAUGAGUGCUGCUGUGACCCUUCCAUCGUCAUUGUCAGCUGAUAAUAAUGUGAAGCUGAACUGUUAUAACUUUUAAUUAGGUUGGAGGUUGUUUAAGUUUGAUAAGCCUACGAAAUCCUGAUCUAGAUCUGGGUAAUGUGGGUGUGGUUCUGAUUCUCUCAAACUUUCUUCAGUAUUUUGAUUUACAUUUUGGAAUGUGGGAGACAGUUUUACUCUUUGAGCGGAUCUCUUUGUUCUCCAGCCAUCUUUUUUUGUGCUUUCACUGAGUAGAUCAAAGGAUUUUCUUA